AUUGAACGCUGGCGGCAGGCCUAACACAUGCAAGUCGAGCGAGCGGCGGACGGGUGAGUAAUGUAUGGGGAUCUGCCCGAUAGAGGGGGAUAACUACUGGAAACGGUGGCUAAUACCGCAUACUAUCCGAUGAACCCAUAUGGGAUUAGCUAGUAGGUGGGGUAAGGGCUCACCUAGGCGACGAUCCCUAGCUGGUCUGAGAGGAUGAUCAGCCAGACUGGAACGGAGACACGGCCCAGACGCCGACGGGAGGGAGCAGUGGGGAAUGUUGGACAGUGGGCGCAAGCCUGAUGCAGCCAUGCCGCGUGUAUGAAGAAGGCCUUGGGGUUGUAAAGUACUUUCAGCGGGGAGGCGUUAACCGCAGAAGAAGCACCGGCUAACUCCGUGCCAGCAGCCGCGGUAAUAC
rnacentral:rRNA from 1 species